AUGGGGCUGUAUAUAUUGCCAGAGGGCGUUCAUAGCUCUUUCGACGAGGAGCUCGCUAGGUUCUUCUGGCAGGCCGCUAAUGGACGCCAGAAGUAUCACAUGGUCAAGUGGGCGGACAUAUGUAUGCCCAAGGACCAUGGUGGCCUGGGCAUUAUGGCUUCCCGCCGCAUGAACGUCGCGCUAAUACUGCGCUCGGUCUGGCGGAUACUACGCGGUGGGGGCGGCCUAUGGUUACAGCUCAUUCUGGCAAAAUACCUUAGGGGUGAGCUUCUCAUGGUGUGCUCCCGCUCGAGAGGGUCACAGUUCUGGCGAUCCAUCCAAAGGAUCAACGAGGACAUCCGUCUAGGGAUAUCCUUCUCCACAGGAAAUGGGGAUGGGACCCAAUUUUUGCUGGACCCCUGGUUGGGUAACGAGCCACUGAGGGUGAGCUUCCCUAACUUGUUCUCGAUCUAUGCGGACCUGCUAUUAAUUGUGUCCACGGCCUUCCGUUCUGGACAGUGGAAUAUUCGGUUUCGUCGGACUUUUGGACAGGCAGAGAGUGACGAUGGACUAGUUUCGAGCGUACCUACCACUGGUGUUACCGGACUAUCGGACACCAUGUCUUGGCGGCUAUCUCCGAAGGCGGAGUUUUCAGUGAGCAUGGCAUACCAUGCUUUAUGCCAGUCAUCUGCCACCCCAUGUCUUUCUUCCCUGUGGAAAGGCCCUUUGACCUUGAAGAUUAAGAUCUUUGUGUGGCAGCUAUUACGCAACCGCAUCCCUUCGGGACCGAGGUACUUAAGUGGCACGGCCCAGGUGAUGGCUUGUGCCCCUUACGCGUGA
rnacentral:rRNA from 1 species